rnacentral:lncRNA from 1 species
AAAUAAGCCAGCAGGAAACAAUAUUUCUGUGUGUGUCAGAGAAGCAGGGGUGAGCUGUGAUGUGUUCGCUGUUGAAGUUUUGACAUCAUUUGCAUCUCUUUCAUGACUGGCAUGUUUACUAGUGUAGAUAGUGUAGCCUGGAUGCCUGGGUGCAACCCGAUCCUGUGGUGUUUGCUUGAGCCUCAUGUUGCAGUGGAUUUUCAGGUUGACUGACGGUCGGUGUUGUGUGGUUCUGAUCUUCAGAGAGACACCAGGAUGGCAACUGAAGGGGCCACAGAGAAGAGAGCCAACUUGGUGGCAUCUAAAGUCAUGUGGAGUAACAGGGAUGACGUACCUAUGUCAGCACCAGAACGGUCACAUGGCAGUGACAGAGCUGGAAUCUGUAGACAGAACAACGUCCAACAGUGGCUUAGAAGUCAUGAGGCGGAUGCAAAACCAGACCACACCAGAGAAGCUGCAGCAGGGCUUCUUAAGAGGAACGCCAGCAGUGAGGAUGACUUAGCGUUGGGCGUCGAAGCGUCUUUAUAUGGUAAACAGGGAGUGAGGACCGUCCAGGAAUUUCUGAGGAGUUCCAGGUCCAGCCCAGUUCUCACCAGGUGGAACAGCUUGACCUCAGCCUUCUCAGCACAGUCAGCUCCACUCAGUGUAAUGGAUGUGCUGAAUCUGUGGAGUGACGACCCAGAGGAGGUCCUACUAGAUCUGGGCUUCGGCUGUGACGAGCCUGACAUCUCUGGACGGAUCCCUGCCCGCUUCAUCAACAACCAGUCCAGCGCCCGGGGAAUCAACAUCCAGGUGUUCCUGGACGCCCAGAAGAACCGCAUGGACAUAGAGAACCCUGAUGUCAGCAAUAGGUUCAGGCAGUUGGAGGUGCUGCAGCAGGUUACCACUGCAUUCUCAUCCCUGGUCGGUGGUGCGUCUACAGACUCCGUCUCCGAGAGCGGAGUUCCAGCUUUAGCUUCAGCCGGGGCCAGGGAGAAGAGGAAGAGAAUGGGCAUGCUGCUCCGCCGGGUCUCCAGAAAAACCCUCAGCCAAACCCAGUUUCAGACACAAAACCAGACCCAGGACUCCCAGGACACAAACCCCACUCCCCACAGUCCUGUAACCCACUUACCGCAGCCCCUGGCUGGCCUCCCUGACAGGCGGACCCCGCUGAAACGAGCCAGACAGGGCCUGGCUGAGAGUAUAUGUCUGACCCCGCUGGCAGAGGAGCAAGGCCUAGCCUCGGAAGCACCAGAGCCCCACUCGGUCCACCAGGAGGGUGCACUCUGGCUGGAGGUGGGGAAGGAGUAUCAACCCCUGAUCUCCAGUGGUAUUCCAACCAGAAAGAAAAGUCCUGGGGAGGCCAGGGAGUCCUUUGAGAUGGAGGAGAUCCAGAGCUUUGAUGAGGGCAGUAUUUCUGGGAGCUACAUGGGAGCAUCCGACACCACAGGAUGGUCCUCCCCUUCAUCCUCUGAGGAGCCUCCACUGCUAACAGAAUAAGCAAAUUGUGUCCUAACUUUUAGUUGAUUCACCAGGCAAAGGUAAAGUUCUGUUUAUUGCCCUGAGUCAUAGUUCUCCUUUAUACUCCAGAUGAGUCUGAUUGAAGGAUAUGAUUAAAGUGAUGUAAUUUUCCAUGAACUUUCUUUCUCUCCCCCUCUCCCCUCCCUCUACUCUCUUCCCCCUUCCCUAUGUAGCAGUGUGUGUGAUGAGGACUAACAGCUGCCAGUCUGACAGCAGUGGCUUCCUGGAAGAGCCCUUCAUCCCUUCCAUUACCCAGCAUCCCUCACCUGGACCCGAGCUCAUGAAGGCUUUGUCGGGAAUAUUUGGAGGCAGCACUGACAGCCAGAUCACUGUAAAAGGAGCUUCACCCCCCUCGUCCCCCCCAUCCACUUCCCUGGACCCUUCCCCUCCUUCCCUCUCCAUGUGCCACCCAAGACCCGAGUCUCCUCUAUACAGACCAGAGACAACAAGCCCUACAGAGGAGACACCCAGACACCAGGAUUCCCCCACACCCCACUCCCUCUCUGAUGCCUUGGAGAUGACUAACUCUGCUUUUGGAGCCAGGCCAAGCCUAAUGGAAAACACUGUCACUGAGGAAGAUGGAUUCUCUUCGGCCUGCGGUUCACCUUGUCAUAAGCCAGACUCUCCGUUACGGCACGUUAUUAUUAUCAUGAAAACAGAUAGAGAAACAGAACACUUUACUGUGGAAUCAGAGGAAGCUGUUCCAAUAGGAGGAGAGGAAAAGGACAUAGCGGAACAAAGUGGCAAUGUUCAGACAGGAACAGAGGCUGUUGGUGAUCAGGACACCGAUUGUUAUGGGUCACAUGAAGGCUCUCGGAUGAACUCGGUAGCUCUGGUGCAGAUGAAGAAAGAGACAGAGAUGAAGACGAAAGUACAGAUUAGUUCUGGUUUGGAAGGUCCAGUGUUGGGUCCUGUUGCUGUUCCUGAGGUGGUGAAUCAAGGCUCUGAGACUGGAUCUGUUUGUCAGGACCGGUACUCUGAAGAUCCUCUAUUAGGAUCUGACCCUAACUUCUCAGCAGAGCCUCUCCCUGCCUCCUCUCUCCCCCCAGCAGAGCCUCUCCCUGCCUCCUCUCUCCCCCCAGCAGAGCCUCUCUCUGCCUCCCUCCCCCCAGUGCACUGGGAAACAGGUGGCUCAAAGAUUUCAGAGGGAUCCUCAAGCUUGGUUGUCCAAGAGCCUGUCCCACCACUAUAUCAACCAGCAGACCCAUCGACAGACCCACCUCCAGGCCCAGCUUUAACCUCACCUUCAGAGCAAGUGUCACCUCCAUCCCCACCACCAUCUCCAUCCCCAGCCUCGUGGCCACACCAACCUCCAGCCUCAGCUUUUCCGGCAGCAUCCAGCUCAUCUCCAACCCAAGCCCAUUCCCCAAUCCCAAACCAUUCUCUAUCAGCCCUAACCACAACACCAACCCCAUCCUCAAUUCCAAACUCGCCAUCAGCCCAUUCCUUAACCGUAGCUCCAUCUCAAGCCCCAACUCCACUCGUCCCCCACAGUGGUGCUUUCAGGUCAGGCCGGUCUGUGUCUGUCCAGAUGCCCUCCUCCCUGCCCUCUGUCUCCCACUCUGCCCUCCGGAGAGGUGGCGUCCCCCACACCCCCUCCCCGCUCGGCCCUUCCUUCGAGCCCCGCCCCCUGACUGACCUGACGCUCCGGCAGAGGCGGAACUCCUUCUCCAGGAAGGCGUGGUCAGAUGCUGAUGUCUCCCACUUUGCAGAACACAGAAACACUGCGGUUGCCAUGGGAAAGGCAGUCAUGACACCUGAGAUGAUAUCCCUCCUGUCCCCCGUCCCCUCCCUGUCAUCGUCCAAUCGGUGGCUGUCUCGCGACGGUUCACGAAGAUCCGGAAGUUUCCAGAUGAAGUCCACCUCCUUGGACACGGGGCUGUGGCAGGAGGAAGAGGGGGAUGAAGUGGGGGAUGAGGAUAGACGGUGGGAACGAGCCCUGUUCUCUGGGCUUUCCUGCUGCUGCUCCUGUGAUAACCGCUGUAGCUGCUGUUCUCAGAACAAUCACCUCAAACCAUCCUCCGUUUCAGCUUUCCCUUAUUCCCUGGAUGAGCUGGAGGGGAUGAUGCACUGUAUGAGGAAGUUCCGCUGCGUCCUGACAGACAUCGAGGAACAGCUGUCAGAAGACCAGGCCUCGGUGUACAGCUCACUCUCUGACACUGACAGAGAUGAAGUGCGAGACAUCUUGGAGCUGAGGAAAGCUGUGAAACAGGAAGCAGGAGAGUUGGAACUGCAGCUCACUGACCUGGUUCAUCGCUAUGACGACAGCUUCAAAAUGAAGAUGCACAGACUACUCGAUGAACAAUCUCACCUCUACACCCAGCUAAGGCUCCUCCCCCUGAUCCCCAAGACCACCCCUGGCUCCGCCUCCUCUAGGAGCAUGGCCACUCAGUGCUGCCUGCUGCCCUGGCUGCCUUUGACGGACAUGUCCAGGCCACACCCCUCACCGCAGGCCACCUGGGAUUUGGAGUCCAGAUCAGCUCUGCCAGAUUCCAGUUCUAUGGGCCAGAGACUAAACCAUGGUUCUACCGGCACCAAGCCAGACAAACUGGACAUUGUGGGUUUCAUCCAGAGACUGAAGGAGUCCAUACGCCACUCUGUCAAUACUGACUCACUGGAGUAAAAGAGAGAUGCUGCUUCUGCUGUAGCUAACUGAAAAUGAUCUGCUGUCUAAGUUAUAGUGUGUCCAAUCAACCUGGACUCGGGUAGAUGUAACAUAAUAAACGUAAAUCUGUCUCCCUCCAGUUAGUAUGAUAUGUUAGGUGUGGUAAGGUAUGUAUUUCUUUGUGGAUGUCCAUCAUCCAUUUCUUAUGUUAUAAAUAACAAUUCAUAUGAUAUGUUACGAAUUGCAAUUUGUACAAUAUGUUACGAAUUUGCGAUUAAGUAUGAUAUGUCACAAAUUCCAGUUUGAUGUGGCUAACCCUAACAUUAAAGUAGCUAACGUUAACUAGGCUAAGGGUUAGCUAACAUGCUAAGUAGGUGCAAAAAGUAGUACGUUUCAAAAUAGCUAAUUAGCCUAAAUGCUCAAGUUGUCCGUGAUGAGAUCGGAAGACGCAACCUUAGAGGUGCUAGAAGUUUGCAUUAUAUGCCCACCUAUCCACCCCGACCCACCACCCUCCUUUUGUUUUUGCCUUAUGUAACCUUACCAAACAUACCAUAUCAUAUUCAUUUGAGUGUCCUGGAUUUACGUUGACUAUGUCUAGUCUAUGAAACCAGGCUGGUGUAAUCAAUGGAUUCUAUUACUACUAAAGUAGUCCAGUGUCCACAUAAUGAAUAAAGAGCACGAAUGCAUGAAAUCAUGUGUGCUUGUUCUAUAACGUGCCGAUCCAAUGCAUAACAUACUGUCCAAAGAGUUUAUUUGUGUGUAUUGUCAUUCCCUACGUAUCAACAACAGCAUUCGUCUCAACUAAGGAUGUGUUCUUAUUGUAACAUGAAGUCUCCUACUGUUACCUACCUGCAUCAAUGCUCUGGGUAAGACAGUUCCCCAUCCACAUGAGAUCCAUGCAGUAUGUGUAUGCUAUAGAGAGGAGCUCCUAUGUGUCACCCUCCUGUUCUGGGUUAUGUCCUUAUUAGCACAAGAGGUGGUCUUGCUC